CGGCUCAGUAACACGUGGAUAACCUGCCCUUGGGUCCGGCAUAACCCCGGGAAACUGGGGAUAAUUCCGGAUAACGCACAUAUGCUGGAAUGCUUUAUGCGUCAAAUGGAUUCGUCCGCCCAAGGAUGGGUCUGCGGCCUAUCAGGUAGUAGUGGGUGUAAUGUACCUACUAGCCUACGACGGGUACGGGUUGUGAGAGCAAGAGCCCGGAGAUGGAUUCUGAGACAUGAAUCCAGGCCCUACGGGGCGCAGCAGGCGCGAAAACUUUACAAUGCGGGAAACCGUGAUAAGGGGACACCGAGUGCCAGCAUCAUAUGCUGGCUGUCCGGGUGUGUAAAAUACACCUGUUAGCAAGGGCCGGGCAAGACCGGUGCCAGCCGCCGCGGUAACACCGGCGGCCCGAGUGGUGAUCGUGAUUAUCGGGUCUAAAGGGUCCGUAGCCGGUUUGGUCAGUCCUCCGGGAAAUCUGACGGCUCAACCGUUAGGCUUUCGGGGGAUACUGCCAGACUUGGAACCGGGAGAGGUAAGAGGUACUACAGGGGUAGGAGCGAAAUCUUGUAAUCCCUGUGGGACCACCUGUGGCGAAGGCGUCUUACCAGAACGGGUUCGACGGUGAGGGACGAAAGCUGGGGGCACGAACCGGAUUAGAUACCCGGGUAGUCCCAGCCGUAAACGAUGCUCGCUAGGUGUCAGGCAUGGCGCGACCGUG
rnacentral:rRNA from 1 species